rnacentral:ncRNA from 1 species
ACGUUGUCGAUGAUGAGGAGAGUAAAUCUUAGCAAUGUAUGGCAGCGAGCCGGAGUUGGUGGAAGUCCGGCAUACGGCUAUGAUUGAAGCGCACCUCUGAGAUUUUUGCUGAAGGUGCCAGUAGGCAAAACGGAUUCCCUCCGUUAUAGGGGAGCAGAGUGGGUACAAUUUGUACCAAUAAGAGUGGUAACACGGGAUAUGACUCUCGUCUCUUGC